UACGUAGGGUGCAAGCGUUGUCCGGAAUUAUUGGGCGUAAAGAGCUCGUAGGCGGUUUGUCGCGUCUGCCGUGAAAGUCCGGGGCUCAACUCCGGAUCUGCGGUGGGUACGGGCAGACUAGAGUGAUGUAGGGGAGACUGGAAUUCCUGGUGUAGCGGUGAAAUGCGCAGAUAUCAGGAAGAACACCGGUGGCGAAGGCGGCUCUCUGGGCCUUACCUGACGCUGAGGAGCGAAAGCGUGGGUAGCGAACAGG
rnacentral:rRNA from 1 species